rnacentral:rRNA from 1 species
GACGAACGCUGGCGGCGUGCCUAAUACAUGCAAGUCGAGCGCAGGAAAUCAUCCGAACCCUUCGGGGGGACGUUGAUGGAAUGAGCGGCGGACGGGUGAGUAACACGUAAAGAACCUGCCCUCAGGUCUGGGAUAACCACGAGAAAUCGGGGCUAAUACCGGAUGGGUCAUCGGACCGCAUGGUCCGAGGAUGAAAGGCGCUUCGGCGUCGCCUGGGGAUGGCUUUGGGGUGCAUUAGGUAGUUGGUGGGGUAAUGGCCCACCAAGGCGACGAUGCAUAGCCGACCUGAGAGGGUGAUCGGCCACACUGGGACUGAGACACGGCCCAGACUCCUACGGGAGGCAGCAGUAGGGAAUCUUCCACAAUGGACGAAAGUCUGAUGGAGCAACGCCGCGUGAACGAUGAAGGCCUUCGGGUCGUAAAGUUCUGUUGUAAGGGAAGAACAAGUGCCGCAGGCAAUGGCGGCACCUUGACGGUACCUUGCGAGAAAGCCACGGCUAACUACGUGCCAGCAGCCGCCGUAAGAC